rnacentral:rRNA from 1 species
UAGCGAUACGUUAGUGGCGCACGGGUGAGUAACGCGUGGAUAUCUGCCUUUUGGUUCGGGAUAACCUUGGGAAACUAGGGCUAAUACCGAAUGGUUCCUACGGGAUAAAGAUUUAUCGCCAAAAGAUGAGUCCGCGUCCGAUUAGCUGGUUGGCGGGGUAAUGGCCCACCAAGGCGACGAUCGGUAGCUGGUCUGAGAGGACGAUCAGCCACACUGGGACUGAGACACGGCCCAGACUCCUACGGGAGGCAGCAGUGGGGAAUCUUGCGCAAUGGGCGAAAGCCUGACGCAGCCAUGCCGCGUGAAUGAUGAAGGUCUUAGGA